rnacentral:rRNA from 1 species
CACAUGCAAGUCGAACGGCAGCGCGGGGCAACCUGGCGGCGAGUGGCGAACGGGUGAGUAAUAUAUCGGAACGUACCCUGGAGUGGGGGAUAACGUAGCGAAAGUUACGCUAAUACCGCAUACGAUCUAAGGAUGAAAGCAGGGGACCGCAAGGCCUUGUGCUCCUGGAGCGGCCGAUAUCUGAUUAGCUAGUUGGUAGGGUAAAAGCCUACCAAGGCAUCGAUCAGUAGCUGGUCUGAGAGGACGACCAGCCACACUGGAACUGAGACACGGUCCAGACUCCUACGGGAGGCAGCAGUGGGGAAUUUUGGACAAUGGGCGCAAGCCUGAUCCAGCAAUGCCGCGUGAGUGAAGAAGGCCUUCGGGUUGUAAAGCUCUUUUGUCAGGGAAGAAACGGUGAGGGCUAAUAUCCCUUGCUAAUGACGGUACCUGAAGAAUAAGCACCGGCUAACUACGUGCCAGCAGCCGCGGUAAUACGUAGGGUGCAAGCGUUAAUCGGAAUUACUGGGCGUAAAGCGUGCGCAGGCGGUUUUGUAAGUCUGUCGUGAAAUCCCCGGGCUCAACCUGGGAAUGGCGAUGGAGACUGCAAGGCUAGAGUUUGGCAGAGGGGGGUAGAAUUCCACGUGUAGCAGUGAAAUGCGUAGAUAUGUGGAGGAACACCGAUGGCGAAGGCAGCCCCCUGGGUCAA